rnacentral:rRNA from 1 species
AACCUCCGCAAUGUGAGAAAUCGCGACGGGGGGAUCCCAAGUGCCAUUCUUAACGGGAUGGCUUUUCAUUAGUGUAAAGAGCUUUUGGAAUAAGGGCUGGGCAAGACCGGUGCCAGCCGCCGCGGUAACACCGGCAGCUCUAGUGGUAGCAGUUUUUAUUGGGCCUAAAGCGUCCGUAGCCGGUUUAAUAAGUCUCUGGUGAAAUCCUGUAGCUUAACUGUGGGAAUUGCUGGAGAUACUAUUAGACUUGAGACCGGGAGAGGUUAGAGGUACUCCCAGGGUAGAGGUGAAAUUCUGUAAUCCUGGGAGGACCGCCUGUUGCGAAGGCGUCUAACUGGAACGGUUCUGACGGUGAGGGACGAAAGUUAGGGGCGCGAACCGGAUUAGAUACCCGGGUAGUCCUAACUGUAAACGAUGCGGACUUGGUGUUGGGGUGGCUUUGAGCUGCUCCAGUGCCGAAGGGAAGCUGUUAAGUCCGCCGCCUGGAAGUACGGUCGCAAGACUGAAACUUAAAGGAAUU